AUUGAACGCUGGCGGCAUGCCUUACACAUGCAAGUCGAACGGCAGCACGGGAGCAAUCCUGGUGGCGAGUGGCGAACGGGUGAGUAAUACAUCGGAACGUGCCCAGUCGUGGGGAUAACGUAGCGAAAGCUACGCUAAUACCGCAUACGAUCUAUGGAUGAAAGCGGGGGAUCGCAAGACCUCGCGCGAUUGGAGCGGCCGAUAUCAGAUUAGGUAGUUGGUGAGGUAAAGGCUCACCAAGCCGACGAUCUGUAGCAGGUCUGAGAGGACGACCAGCCACACUGGGACUGAGACAGGCCCAGACUCCUACGGGAGGCAGCAGUGGGAAUUUUGGACAAUGGGCGCAAGCCUGAUCCAGCAAUGCCGCGUGCAGGAUG
rnacentral:rRNA from 1 species